rnacentral:tRNA from 1 species
GGCCAUGGCUCAGUGGUUAAGUAGCUGCUUUGCAUGCAGAAGGUCCCAGGUUCGAUCUCUGGCAUCUCCA